rnacentral:rRNA from 1 species
AUACGGAGGUUCCGAGCGUUAUCCGGAAUCAUUGGGUUUAAAGGGUCCGUAGGCGGGAAUCUAAGUCAGUGGUGAAAUCUUGCAGCUCAACUGUAAAAUUGCCAUUGAUACUGGAUUUCUUGAAUUAGUGUGAAGUGGUUAGAAUGUGUAGUGUAGCGGUGAAAUGCAUAGAUAUUACACAGAAUACCAAUUGCGAAGGCAGAUCACUAACACUAUAUUGACGCUGAGGGACGAAAGCGUGGGGAGCGAACAGGAUUAGAAACCCCAGUAGUCC